rnacentral:SRP_RNA from 1 species
AAAUGGGCAAGUCCUGUACGGCCAGCUCCCUCGGAAUCCUCCAGGACGGGAACGUAGCAAAGGUACUUGGUCGUAGCGGCGCGAUGCAGACCGCUUGCCCACC